rnacentral:rRNA from 1 species
GACUUGGUUAUUUUUCCUAUUUAAAAACUUUGUCUUGUCUGAUCUCGGAAGCUAAGCAGGGUUGGGCCUGGUUAGUACUUGGAUGGGAGACCACCUAGGAAGACCAGGUGUCGUAGGCA